CUAGCGACUUCAGAGUUUGAUCCUGGCUCAGAACGAACGCUGGCGGCACGCUUAACACAUGCAAGUCGGACGGGGUUAUGGAGCUUGCUUUAUAACCUAGUGGCGGACGGGUGAGUAACACGUGGGAACAUGACCUGAAGUGGUGGAUAGCUCUGGGAAACUGGAGGUAAUACAGCAUAAGCUCGAGAGAGGAAAGGAGAGAUUCGCUUUAGGAGUGGCCCGCGGCUGAUUAGGUAGUUGGUGGGGUAAGGGCCUACCAAGCCGAUGAUCAGUAGCUGGUCUGAGAGGACGGACAGCCACACUGGAACUGAGAAACGGUCCAG
rnacentral:rRNA from 1 species